rnacentral:rRNA from 1 species
GUUACUGGCGUAAAGACGCAUGCAGGUGGUUUGUUUAAGUUACAGAUGUGAAAGACCCGGGGCCGUCAACCUACGGAACGUAGCAUUUGUAAACUAGGCAGACUAGAGUAUUGUAGAGGGGGGUAGGAAUUUCAGGUGUAGCGGUGAAAUAGCGUAGAGAUCUGAAGGAAUACCGGUGGCGAAGGCGGCCCCCUCGGACAGAUACUGACACUCAGAUGCGAAAGCGUGGGGAGCAAACAGGAUUAGAUACCCUGGUAG